rnacentral:rRNA from 1 species
GAUGAACGCUGGCGGCGUGCCUAACACAUGCAAGUCGAGCGAAGCGAUUUAACGGAAGUUUUCGGAUGGAAGUUAAAUUGACUGAGCGGCGGACGGGUGAGUAACGCGUGGGUAACCUGCCUCAUACAGGGGGAUAACAGUUAGAAAUGACUGCUAAUACCGCAUAAGCGCACAGCAUCGCAUGAUGCAGUGUAAAAAACUCCGGUGGUAUGAGAUGGACCCGCGUCUGAUUAGCUAGUUGGUGAGGUAACGGCUCACCAAGGCGACGAUCAGUAGCCGACCUGAGAGGGUGAUCGGCCACAUUGGGACUGAGACACGGCCCAA